rnacentral:rRNA from 1 species
AGUGAACGCUGGCGGUAGGCCUAACACAUGCAAGUCGAGCGGCAGCACAGUAAGAGCUUGCUCGUACGGGUGGCGAGUGGCGGACGGGUGAGGAAUACAUCGGAAUCUACUUUUUCGUGGGGGAUAACGUAGGGAAACUUACGCUAAUACCGCAUACGACCUACGGGUGAAAGCAGGGGAUCUUCGGACCUUGCGCGAUUGAAUGAGCCGAUGUCGGAUUAGCUAGUUGGCGGGGUAAAGGCCCACCAAGGCGACGAUCCGUAGCUGGUCUGAGAGGAUGAUCAGCCACACUGGAACUGAGACACGGUCCAGACUCCUACGGGAGGCAGCAGUGGGGAAUAUUGGACAAUGGGCGCAAGCCUGAUCCAGCCAUACCGCGUGGGUGAAGAAGGCCUUCGGGUUGUAAAGCCCUUUUGUUGGGAAAGAAAAGCAGCAGGUUAAUACCCCGCUGUUCUGACGGUACCCAAAGAAUAAGCACCGGCUAACUUCGUG